CCCGAGCGCUGUGCGUCCUUUCCUGCGUUUUCUCCGUUCUGGAAGGCGGCUGCUCCAGACUGAAGAUGGAAAUGAAGUCCAGUGGCUCCCUCGGGUCCAGCUGUUCUACUGCAGGCCAACUCUGCUACUGGACCGCAGAUGGUAACACUAAUGGCUCUCUUGCUUCAUCCUUGCCAGUGACCUGAGCAGCUGUGGAUUUUGCUGGCUGUGAAAGAAUAACAUGUCCGUGAGUUCCAAGAAGUUGCCUUCUUCACAGCCUGUUCAGAGCACAGUAGCUAUCAUCUAGAGCCAUUUCAAGAGCUGGAACAGAUGGAACAGUUUUCCUGCUGCAACAGAGAAGGUUCCUAGCGGCCUGUUUUAAAAGGCAAAUCCUGACCCACCCACCCGACUGGAUUCUACAUCUCGGCUGACCUCUUCAGCAAAGAUUUCAGAAGCUCUUCAGGAGUCAGAUCUGUCUACAAAGAAGCUUUUGGACUAAAAUUUUGCAGUUGAGCUUAAAGCAAAUGCAAGCUAUAUAGAAUUUUUUAAAAAUAAAGUUUAUUUGAAAAGAGAAAUAGAAAGGACAAUAGAAAGUACAGAAUAGAAAGUGCUACAUUUAAGCUACGACAGAAAAGUAUAUUCAAAAUAUGUGACAACACAACUAGCAUAUGUAACAGUUCUCUCUCCUUGAUUGCUUAUACCUAAACUUUAAUGUCAGUGUCAACUAUUGGCAAACUAUAUGGAAUUAAAAGAUUUCCACUCUU